rnacentral:rRNA from 1 species
UACGUAGGCAGCAAGCGUUGUUCGGAGUUACUGGGCGUAAAGGGUGUGUAGGCGGUUCUUUAAGUUUGGUGUGAAAUCUCCCGGCUCAACCGGGAGGGUGCGCCGAAUACUGAGGGACUUGGAGUGCGGGAGAGGAAAGUGGAAUUCCUGGUGUAGCGGUGAAAUGCGUAGAUAUCAGGAGGAACACCGGUGGUGUAGACGGCUUUCUGGACCGUAACUGACGCUGAGACACGAAAGCGUGGGUA